UCUUAGGGGUGAAUUAAGAAUGUGGUUUCUUGAAAUGGAAUCUACUCUUGGUGAAGAUGCUGUGAA
rnacentral:pre_miRNA from 1 species